AUGUGUCUUGUUGUAUGAGUGCUUGAACAAACUAUGAUUAAAUGGAUGCAUAGAUUCAAAGUGGGAAGAAUUGGCUAUUAUGCUUGAUACUAAUGCCGAAUAUGAGAAUGUUGUACUUGAAAAAAAAUGUAGGUGAUCAUGACAAGUGUAUUCGGCUUAGGGCAUAAGGAUAUGAAAAUUUUGGGUAUUUAUUUUUGAUUGUGUGUGCAUGACUAUGGAUAGUUGGCU
rnacentral:lncRNA from 1 species